rnacentral:rRNA from 1 species
UACGUAGGGGGGCUAGCGUUGUCCGGAAUCAUUGGGCGUAAAGCGCGUGUAGGCGGUUCGGUAAGUCCGCUGUGAAAGUCGAGGGCUCAACCCUCGGAUGCCGGUGGAUACUGUCGGACUAGAGUGCGGAAGAGGCGAGUGGAAUUCCUGGUGUAGCGGUGAAAUGCGCAGAUAUCAGGAGGAACACCAAUUGCGAAGGCAGCUCGCUGGGACGUUACUGACGCUGGAGACGCGAAAAGCGUGGGGGAGCAAACAGG